rnacentral:tRNA from 1 species
CAGAGCGUAGCUAAAUAGUAAAGCAUUUCCCUUACACCGAAAAGACACCCAUGCAAACUGGGUCGCCCUGA